CUUCUUAGAGGUCGCUACCGCCAUGGUCUAUAUGCGCUUGACGCCCCCACCGACGUUCCCGCUCCUGCUGCUGCGUUCCAAGUCUUCAGUGGCGUCUGUGUGUCUCCAUCACUAUGGCACUCUCGUCUUGGUCACCCAGCAUCUCCCAUUGUUCGCCAUGUCCUCCAUCGUCAUGAGCUGCCGUCCGAGUCUAGUAAUAAAGAUGCCUCUGUCUGUGAUGCCUGCCAGCAGGGCAAGAGUCAUCAGUUACCUUUUUCUGUUUCUACACAUAUAGUCAAAACUCCUCUUGAGCUUGUGUUUUCAGAUGUAUGGGGUCCUGCCCAGCUGUCCGUUAGUGGGCACGAAUAUUAUGUCAGUUUCAGUGAU
rnacentral:rRNA from 1 species